CCCUAUGGGGUGCAGCCGGUACGACGGGAGGCACACCGUUUUGAGUUCGUCGGAGGUGAUGCUCUGGUAGCUCAGCCCGAGCGAGGCCACAUCGAGGGUUUUGUCGGAGAGGUUGUAGAGUUCGAGGUAAUCGGAGCCAUCGGCUGCGGGGUUGGUCAGCACUUCGUUGAUUGCCACAUCGCCUGCUUCAGCGGCCACGGGAACGGCCACCCUCACCGAGCUCAUGGCUUGCAGGAGGUUGCCGGCGCAGGCGGUCACCUGUUCGGCAAUGCCGAUGGUGUAGAUUACUGAAGGCUCCAUCGGUUGCCCGAAGCUGAGAGUCACGGUGUUGAAUUGGGGUGCCACAGGACUUGCCUGGGUGAUGGGAAUUGGCGGGAGGGC
rnacentral:rRNA from 1 species